rnacentral:rRNA from 1 species
CCUACGGGUGGCAGCAGUGAGGAAUAUUGGUCAAUGGGCGAGAGCCUGAACCAGCCAAGUCGCGUGAAGGAUGAAGGAUCUAUGGUUUGUAAACUUCUUUUAUAUGGGAAUAAAGUGAGGAACGUGUGCCUUUUUGUAUGUACAAUAUGAAUAAGCAGCGGCUAACUCCGUGCCAGAAGCCGCGGUAAUACGUAGCAUGCGAGCGUUAUCCGGAUUUAUUGGGGUUAAAGGGUGCGUCGGUGGUUAAGUCAGUACGCGGUGAAAGUUUGUGGCUCAACCAUAAAAUUGCCGUUGAAACUGGUUGACUGGUGUAUAUUUGAUGUAGGCGGAAUGCGUGGUGUAGCGGUGAAAUGCAUCGAUAUCACGCAGAACUCCGAUUGCGAGGGCAGCUUACUAAACUAUAACUGACACUGACGCACGAAAGCGUGGGGAUCAAACAGGAUUAGAUACCCUUGUAGUC